AGGGGAAACGGGGCAAGGCAAGGCAAGGAGCUGUUGCAAGUAGUGUCAUAGAAAAUUCGAAAUGUUUCAAUCAACAAUUCGCAUUAUUAAAUAUUAAUGGGAAACUCGAGUCGAGCUGCCUCGGACUGACCCUUUCGACCAUGCCGGCCCCAAAAAGGUCAUCAUGUGUCUGCCGCAGCAGUCCAGAAGGUCCAGAAGCUGGCAAAAGUAAUUUUGGACAUUUUUCAUCAUAAAGACAGCAUCGACUCAACCCUCUCUGUCUCUGUCUCAGUCUGUGUCUCUGUCCCUGUCCUGAGAGCCACUUCUUUGGCGGAGCUUAGAUUUCGAAUUGGAUUUGAAUUGGGAAUUUCUGGCAUUCAAGGGCCGUCGGUCGUUGGUCGUCGGUCAAGUUGGUCAACGCAUAAAUAUUUCUCUUUGUUCAAGCAUCGCAUCAGAGCCAAAAAAGAGCAUUACGGACUCGUCCGACUCGUACAUACACGUAUGCUGUGUGUGUGUGCACCUGUGCCAUCUGUCUCUCUCCGUCUCUCCGUCUCCCUCCUUCUGUCUGUCCUCCGACAGGACUACAGCACAAACAAACAAGGAGACGGGCUGGGUAGUGGAUGGCCAGAUAUGAGAAACGGUCGAAUGGUCAAGUCAAAGUUAUUGUCAUGUCAUAGGCUGUUCGUCAGGCAAGGUGCCACAAAUGGAGGUCUGCCAGGACAAGGCUAAUCAUGCUCAAGACAUGUAUUUUGUGCCAAUCUGAUUAAAGGGAUUGGAAGGAUGUUACCUUUACAGAUA